rnacentral:rRNA from 1 species
UGGGGAAUAUUGCACAAUGGGCGCAAGCCUGAUGCAGCCAUGCCGCGUGUAUGAAGAAGGCCUUCGGGUUGUAAAGUACUUUCAGCGGGGAGGAAGGGAGUAAAGUUAAUACCUUUGCUCAUUGACGUUACCCGCAGAAGAAGCACCGGCUAACUCCGUGCCAGCAGCCGCGGUAAUACGGAGGGUGCAAGCGUUAAUCGGAAUUACUGGGCGUAAAGCGCACGCAGGCGGUUUGUUAAGUCAGAUGUGAAAUCCCCGGGCUCAACCUGGGAACUGCAGCUGAUACUGGCAAGCUUGAGUCUUGUAGAGGGGGGUAGAAUUCCAUGUGUAGCGGUGAAAUGCGUAGAGAUGUGGAGGAAUACCGGUGGCGAAGGCGGCCCCCUGGACAAAGACUGACGCUCAGGUGCGAAAGCGUGGGGAGCAAACAGG